CACGCUGUAAACGAUGAUUACUCGAUGUUGGCGAUACACAGUCAGCGUCUGAGCGAAAGCAAUAAGUAAUCCACCUGGGGAGUACGAUCGCAAGAUUGAAACUCAAAGGAAUUGACGGGGGCCCGCACAAGCGGAGGAGCAUGUGGUUUAAUUCGAUGAUACGCGAGGAACCUUACCUGGGCUCGAACGUAAGAUGACUGUAGGUGAAAGCUUACAUCUCUUCGGAGCAUUUUACGAGGUGCUGCAUGGUUGUCGUCAGCUCGUGCCGUGAGGUGUCGGGUUAAGUCCCAUAACGAGCGCAACCCCUACCUUUAGUUGCCAUCAGGUAAUGCUGGGGACUCUAAAGGAACUGCCUACGCAAGUAGU
rnacentral:rRNA from 1 species